rnacentral:rRNA from 1 species
GAUGAACGCUGGCGGCGUGCCUAAUACAUGCAAGUCGAGCGAACGGACGAGAAGCUUGCUUCUCUGAUGUUAGCGGCGGACGGGUGAGUAACACGUGGAUAACCUACCUAUAAGACUGGGAUAACUUCGGGAAACCGGAGCUAAUACCGGAUGAUAUUUUGAACCGCAUGGUUCAAAAGUGAAAGACGGUCUUGUUGUCACUUAUAGAUGGAUCCGCGCUGCAUUAGCUAGUUGGUAAGGUAACGGCUUACCAAGGCAACGAUGCAUAGCCGACCUGAGAGGGUGAUCGGCCACACUGGAACUGAGACACGGUCCAGACUCCUACGGGAGGCAGCAGUAGGGAAUCUUCCGCAAUGGGCGAAAGCCUGACGGAGCAACGCCGCGUGAGUGAUGAAGGUCUUCGGAUCGUAAAACUCUGUUAUUAGGGUAGAACAUAUGUGUAAGUAACUGUGCACAUCUUGACGGUACCUAAUCAGAAAGCCACGGCUAACUACGUG